rnacentral:rRNA from 1 species
GAUGAACGCUGGCGGCGUGCCUAAUACAUGCAAGUCGAGCGAACAGACGAGGAGCUUGCUCCUCUGACGUUAGCGGCGGACGGGUGAGUAACACGUGGAUAACCUACCUAUAAGACUGGGAUAACUUCGGGAAACCGGAGCUAAUACCGGAUAAUAUAUUGAACCGCAUGGUUCAAUAGUGAAAGACGGUUUUGCUGUCACUUAUAGAUGGAUCCGCGCCGCAUUAGCUAGUUGGUAAGGUAACGGCUUACCAAGGCAACGAUGCGUAGCCGACCUGAGAGGGUGAUCGGCCACACUGGAACUGAGAACCGGUCCAAACCCCUACGGGGGGCAGCAGUAGGGAAUCUGCCGCAAUGGGCGAAAGCCUGACGGAGCAACGCCGGGUGGGUGAUGAAGGUCUUCGGAUCGUAAAACUCUUUUAUUAGGGAAGAACAAAUGUGUAAGUAACUAUGCACGUUUUGACGGUACCUAAGCAGAAAGCCACGGCUAACUACGU